GCUGGGUGUGGUGGCCCAUGCCUGUAAUCCCAGUGACUCAAGAGGCUGAGGCAGGAGGAUCACAAGUUUGAGACCAAUCUCAGCAACUUAAUGAGAGCCUCAGCAAAUUGAGAACCUGUCUUAA
rnacentral:sRNA from 1 species